rnacentral:misc_RNA from 1 species
GAUGAAGAACGUAGCGAAAUGCGAUAAGUAAUGUGAAUUGCAGAAUUCAGUGAAUCAUCGAAUCUUUGAACGCACAUUGCGCCCGCCAGCAUUCUGGCGGGCAUGCCUGUUCGAGCGUCAUUUCAACCCUCGAGCCCCCCCGGGGGCCUCGGUGUUGGGGGACGGCACACCAGCCGCCCCCGAAAUGCAGUGGCGACCUCGCCGCAGCCUCCCCUGCGUAGUAGCACACCCCUCGCACCGGAGCGCGGAGACGGUCACGCCGUAAACCGCCCAACUUCUUAGAGUUGACCUCGGAUCAGGUAGGAAUACCCGCUGAACUUAAGCAUAUCAAUAAGCGGAGGA